rnacentral:rRNA from 1 species
CAACCUGCCGUCUACUCUUGGACAGCCUUCUGAAAGGAAGAUUAAUACAAGAUGGCAUCAUGAGUCCGCAUGUUCACAUGAUUAAAGGUAUUCCGGUAGACGAUGGGGAUGCGUUCCAUUAGAUAGUAGGCGGGGUAACGGCCCACCUAGUCUUCGAUGGAUAGGGGUUCUGAGAGGAAGGUCCCCCACAUUGGAACUGAGACACGGUCCAAACUCCUACGGGAGGCAGCAGUGAGGAAUAUUGGUCAAUGGGCGCAGGCCUGAACCAGCCAAGUAGCGUGAGGGAUGACUGCCCUAUGGGUUGUAAACUUCUUUUAUAAAGGAAUAAAGUCGGGUAUGUAUACCCGUUUGCAUGUACUUUAUGAAUAAGGAUCGGCUAACUCCGUGCCAGCAGCCGCGGUAAUACGGAGGAUCCGAGCAUUGUCCGGAUUUAUUGGGUUUAAAGGGAGCGUAGAUGGAUGUUUAAGUCAGUUGUGAAAGUUUGCGGCUCAACCGUAAAAUUGCAGUUGAUACUGGAUAUCUUGAGUGCAGUUGAGGCAGGCGGAAUUCGCGGUGUAGCGGUGAAAUGCUUAGAUAUCACGAAGAACUCCGAUUG